GGCUUGGUAGUGUAAUGGUAUCACGCUGCGUAUUCUUGGGCUCCAGAUACGUGAACGCCCUUGUGGAGGUUCCUCGUUCAAUUCGGGGCCAGGCCA